CUUCCUCUUCCUUUCAAAUACAGUAAUCCCCCCUUAUCCGUGGGGGUACAUUCCAAGACCCACAGUGGAUGCCUGAAAGCUUGAAUAGUAGGAACCCUAUUUAGACUAUGUUUUUUCCUAUACAUAUAUACCUACGAUAAAG